CCCUAAAAAGUUCUAAAAGCACAAAGAUUUGGUCCUGGUCUUAUUGUCAGUUAUCUCUUGAUUUACACAUGCAAGUCUCAGCACACCAGUGAGGACGCCCUUACCCCUUCUAUAGGACAAGGAGCUGAUAUCAGGCACUUCCACCGCCCAUAACAUCUAGUCCGACCACACCCCCAAGGGUAUUCAGCAGUGAUAAACAUUGUUUAUAAGCGACAGCUUGACUCAGUCAAAGAGAAGAGGGCCGGCCAACCCGGUGCCAGCCGCCGCGGCUAAACCCUAGGGCCCAAAUUGAUAAUACUCGGCGUCAAUCGUGAUUAAAGCUUUCUAAAAUUAGAGUGAAACCUAUUAUUAAGCUGUGAAAAGCAAUUUUUUUAGGGAAAAUCAGAAACGAAAGUUACUCUAAUAUACACUUGAACACACGACAACUGGGAAACAAACUGGGAUUAGAUACCCCACUAUGCCCAGUCGUAAAAUAUUAACUUACGCACAAAAACGCCCGGGAACUAC
rnacentral:rRNA from 1 species